CGGGGUGUAGCGCAGUCCGGUUAGCGCAUCUGGUUUGGGACCAGAGGGUCGCAGGUUCGAAUCCCGCCACCCCGAC
rnacentral:tRNA from 1 species